rnacentral:rRNA from 1 species
CCUACGGGAGGCAGCAGUGGGGAAUAUUGGGCAAUGGAGGAAACUCUGACCCAGCGACGCCGCGUGAGGGAUGAAGGCCUUCGGGUUGUAAACCUCUUUCAGUAGGGAAGAAGCGAAAGUGACGGUACCUACAGAAGAAGCACCGGCUAACUAUGUGCCAGCAGCCGCGGUAAUACAUAGGGUGCAAGCGUUGUCCGGAAUUAUUGGGCGUAAAGAGCUCGUAGGUGGUUCGAUACGUCGGAUGUGAAAAUCAGGGGCUCAACCCCUGACCUGCAUCCGAUACGGUCGAGCUAGAGUUUGGUAGGGGAGACUGGAAUUCCUGGUGUAGCGGUGGAAUGCGCAGAUAUCAGGAGGAACACCGAUGGCGAAGGCAGGUCUCUGGGCCAAUACUGGCACUGAGGAGCGAAAGCGUGGGGAGCGAACAGGAUUAGAUACCCUGGUAGUCCACGCCGUAAACGGUGGGCGCUAGUUGUGCGAACCUUCCACGGUUUGUGCGACGCNGCUACGCAUAAGCGCCCGCCCGUCGGGAGGUACGAGUCGCGAGAAGUUAAACUACUAAAUAGUAAGUUAGACGGUCGUUGAGACGUUGCCGACGGCGACGACGAGGGGAGGUUAGG